rnacentral:rRNA from 1 species
UACGUAGGUGGCAAGCGUUGUCCGGAAUUAUUGGGCGUAAAGCGCGCGCAGGCGGUCCUUUAAGUCUGAUGUGAAAGCCCACGGCUCAACCGUGGAGGGUCAUUGGAAACUGGGGGGACUUGAGUGCAGGAGAGAAGAGUGGAAUUCCACGUGUAGCGGUGAAAUGCGUAGAGAUGUGGAGGAACACCAGUGGCGAAGGCGACUCUUUGGCCUGUAACGUGACGCUGAGGCGCGAAAGCGUGGGGAGCAAACAGG